AAUGCGCAGAAUUUUCAAGGACAAAUCAGCAGAGCUUCAUGAUUGACUCGCAUUAUGAAUCAGAGCCUUCUGCGUUCUAAAACAUAAAUGACACAUAUGGACUGUUUACAUAGCAGUGCCUACUCAACAGUUGAGCUUUUAUAGAGCUGGGCAAAUGUAUUUGAAAAAUGGAGCUCUUUGCAUAGCUGAUCUUAAAGAAGGAAGAUGGACAGGCAGUCAACUCUGAGCUAUGAUUGGAAGCUUCCCCCAUGUCUCUACACACAAUACCUGAAAUUGCUGAUUACUUCUGUUGAAGCAAUCUAAUAAGAGUCUCAUCUUAAACCUUCACGGAGUGAAAACAACAACUUCAAAGGAUUCCUCACUCAGGCCAGCCCUAGAGGCAUAUCCCCUAAGACCUCCUUGAAUUUGGCUUUAGCAGGGCCCAGAAGGGCCCAUAAGGGAUUGGAGAAAACAGAACUCUUUUUUCAUAUUCCCAUCUUCAGCUUGACAUCAGCCCAGAGCUACAGCCUGUUCAGUUGGCACAAGCUGGCACUUGGACCCAGGU
rnacentral:lncRNA from 10 species